UAGCCAGACUCCUACGGGAGGCAGCAGUGGGGAAUAUUGCGCAAUGGGGGAAACCCUGACGCAGCAACGCCGCGUGAGUGAAGAAGUAUCUCGGUAUGUAAAGCUCUAUCAGCAGGGAAGAGAAUGACGGUACCUGACUAAGAAGCCCCGGCUAACUACGUGCCAGCAGCCGCGGUAAUACGUAGGGGGCAAGCGUUAUCCGGAUUUACUGGGUGUAAAGCGCUCGUAGGCGGUAUGUCAAGUCAAGGGUGAAAUCCCCGCGCUCAACGUGGGAACUGCCUUUGAAACUGGCAAACUGGAGUGUGUGAGAGGAUAGUGGAAUUCCAGGUGUAGGAGUGAAAUCCGUAGAUAUCUGGAGGAACAUCAGUGGCGAAGGCGACUAUCUGGCACAUAACUGACGCUGAGGAGCGAAAGCGUGGGUAGCAAACAGGAUUAGAUACCCCCGUA
rnacentral:rRNA from 1 species